rnacentral:rRNA from 1 species
AAUUAAUAAAUUUGUUUUAGUUAAUAUUAUAUAUUACAAUUUAAAUUAAAUAAAUUAGGGUUUUUGUAGAAUGAAUUGAUAAAAUUGUUUUUACUAUAGUGAAUUAGUACUGUGAGGGAAGAUUUAAAUUAAUUAAUAUAAUUAAUUAAAGGUGAUUUUAUUUAUUGUAUCUUGUGUAUCAGAGUAUAUUUAAAUGAAUUAUAUAUUUUUUUCUUCUCGAAUUUAAAAGAUUUAAUUGGGAAUAUUAGUUAUUGUAUCAUAAAUAUUAAUAAUUUUUAAUUGGUAAUGAGACGUUAUUCGUUUUUAAGGAUAUCUAGUUUUUUAAUAAACGAAUUUAAUUCGGAAAAUUUAAAUUAUUAAAUAAUUUUUUAUUUAAAUAUUUAAAAUUUUUUAUUUUAAAGGGGAUUAACUCUUAAAAAUAUAGUUAUAAUAGGAUUAAUUUGAAAGGAUUUUAUGAAUUUAGAAUUUGUUAGUAGUUAAAGGAUGUUAAAAUUUAAUUCUAUUUUUGAAUAAUUUUUAAUUUUUAUUUAAUUUUUAUAUUAAAAUAUUAAGUUUAAUUUGGAAAUUUAGGAAAUUAUGAUUUAAUUAGUAAAAUUUAAAGUUUAUUUUGUUAAAUUAUUGUAUUGUUUAUAUAAAGAAUUAGGCAAAUAUUUUGCUCACCUGUUUAUUAAAAACAUGGUUUCUUGUAAUUAUUUAAGAAAUCUAACCUGCCCACUGAAAAGAUUUUGAAGGGCCGCAGUAUUUUGACUGUGCAAAGGUAGCAUAAUAAUUAGUCUUUUAAUUGAAGGCUGGCAUGAAUGGUUGGAUGAGGUGAAUUCUGUUUUAUAUAAAUUUUUAUUGAAUUUAGAUUUUAAGUAAAAAGACUUAAAUGUUGUUAAGGGACGAGAAGACCCUAUAGAGUUUAAUAAGUGUAGUAAUUAAUUGAGUUAAAUUUUAAUUUUUGAUUAUUAUGAAAGUUAUUUAAUUGGGGUGAUUAGAAGAUAAAAUUAACUCUUCUUUAUAUUUAAUAUAAUAAGUAGUUGUAUGAUCCAUAUUUAAUGAUUAAAAGAUUAAAUUACCUUAGGGAUAACAGCAUAAUUCUUUUUGAGAGUUCAUAUCGAAAGAAGAGAUUGUGACCUCGAUGUUGGAUUAAGAUUAGUUUUGGGUGCAGAUGUUCAAUAACUAGGUCUGUUCGACCUUGAAAAUCUUACAUGAUCUGAGUUCAAACCGGUGUGAGCCAGGUUGGUUUCUAUCUUUUGUUAAUUUGAAUAUCUUAGUACGAGAGGACCAGAUAUUUGAAAUAAUUUUUUGAUUUGAAGGGAUAUUGUUAAUUGA